GUAAGAAUUUAACUAAGGAUUGCCUCAGUACGGCGAGUGAAGUGGCAAAAGCCCAAACUGGAAAUCUCCACGUUCCACGUGGCGAAUUGUAAUCUACAGGUGGGAAGCUCACCUGGACUGGGCGCAGAAGUGUCUUAGAACGGACCGCCAGAGAGGGUGACAGCCCCGUAUGUGGUGCCCGGACCUAACGAGCUCCUUCCGAAGAGUCGGGUAGCUUUGAAUUGCUGCCCUAAGCUGGGAGAUAGACUUCUUCUAAGGCUAAAUAUUUAUGGGAAACCGAUAGCGAACAAGUACUGUGAAGGAAAGAUGAAAAGAACUUUGAAAAGAGAGUUAAAAGACUUGAAAUCGUUGAGAAGGAAGCGGUAGAAAUUUAUUCUUCUGGUGGGAAUGAAGGCUUUCGCCUAACCAUCGGCCAGGGCCAGCACUUUAUAGGCUGCCUUGACCGCUUGGGGAAGCGAUUGCUGGAUUCCCACCGUGAGGCAAAAUGAGGUGUCACUCCUUCAUAAGCUUGGCAGACCUGGGCGUCUUCGGACGUCAGUCUGCCUUUGCUGGGAGGAGCGGCGCCUGAGGAAGCUUUGUGCGAUUUUGCCAAAAUGGUUUUUACCGACCCGUCUUGAAACACGGACCAAGGAGUCUAACACAUAUGCGAGUAUGCUGGUACAAAAACCAACAUGCGUAAUGAAAGUGAAUGAUGCCACUACAACUGCAGCAUCAACCGACCAUGUUCCUCUGGUUCAAGGUUUGAGUAUGAGCAUAUCUGUUAGGACCCGAAAGAUGGUGAACUAUGCCUGGGUAGGGUGAAGCCAGGGGAAACUCUGGUGGAGGCUCGUAGCGGUUCUGACGUGCAAAUCGAUCGUCAAACUUGGGUAUAGGGGCGAAAGACUAAUCGAACCAUCUAGUAGCUGGUUCCCUCCGAAGUUUCCCUCAGGAUAGCUGGGACAAGUACGCAGUUUUAUUAGGUAAAGCGAAUGAUUAGAGGCAUCCGGGGUAAUUUGCCCUGGACCUAUUCUCAAACUUUAAAUUGGUAAGAACUCUGGCCUUUCUUAAUUGAGGCACAGAGGAUCAAUGCGUGUCCCAAGUGGGCCAUUUUUGGUAAGCAGAACUGGCGAUGAGGGUUGCUCCUAACGUCGAGUUAAGGUGCCCAACUACACGCUCAUCAGAAACUACAAAGGGUGUUGGUUCAUAUAGACAGCAGGACGGUGGCCAUGGAAGUCGGAACCCGCUAAGGAGUGUGUAACAACUCACCUGCCGAAUGAACUAGCCCCGAAAAUUGAUGGCGCUUAAGCGUGUGACCGAUACUCGACCAUUGCAACGAGAGUGAUGUUGCAAUGAGUAGGAGGGCGUGAGCGUUGUUGCGAAGCCUCUGGCGUGAGCCUGGGUUGAACAGCGUUUAGUGCAGAUCUUGGUGGUAGUAGCAAUUAUUCAAAUGAGAACUUUGAAGGCCGAAGUGGAGAAGGUUUCCGUGAGAACAGCAAUUGGUCACGGGUGACUCGAUCCUAAGACAUGGGGGAAAUCCUUGUUAAGUGCUCCAUUUGGAGCGUAGUCGAAAGGGAAUGAGGUUAAUAUUCCUCAAGCUGGAUGUGGGUGUUGUAUGGUAACAUAAGUGAGCUCAGAGACGCCAGCGCGAGCCUCUGGAAGAGUUAUCUUUUCUUUUUAACAGUCUAACGGCCUUGAAAUUGGAUUAUCCAGAGCUAAGGCGGUAUGGCUGGAAGAGUACCUUGCUUUUCGAGGUAUCAGGUGCGCUCGCGAUGGUCCAUGAAAAUCUGAGGAAAUAAUUUCACCGCCCGGUUCCCU
rnacentral:rRNA from 1 species